CAUGUCUAAGUAUAAGCAACUAUACCUGUGAAACUGCGAAUGGCUCAUUAAAUCAUUAUCGUUUAUUUGAUAGUACCUUACUACUUGGAUACCCGUGGUAAUUCUAGAGCUAAUACAUGCUAAAAACCUCGACUUCGGAAGGGGUGUAUUUAUUAGAUAAAAAACCAAUGCCCUUCGGGGCUCCUUGGUGAUUCAUAAUAACUCAACGAAUCGCAUGGCCUUGCGCCGGCGAUGGUUCAUUCAAAUUUCUGCCCUAUCAACUUUCGAUGGUAGUAUAGUGGACUACCAUGGUUUCAACGGGUAACGGGGAAUUGGGGC
rnacentral:rRNA from 1 species